rnacentral:rRNA from 1 species
CUCUCGGCAACGGAUAUCUCGGCUCUCGCAUCGAUGAAGAACGUAGCGAAAUGCGAUACUUGGUGUGAAUUGCAGAAUCCCGUGAAUCAUCGAGUCUUUGAACGCAAGUUGCGCCCGACGCCAUUCGGCCGAGGGCACGUCCGCCUGGGUGUCACGCACCGUUGCC